UUGCUUCAGCAGCACAUAUACUAAAAUAGGAACAAUACAGUGAAGAUUAGUAUGGCCCCUGAGCAAGAAUGACAUGCAAAUUUAUGAAGUGUUCCAUAAUUUG